rnacentral:rRNA from 1 species
CCUACGGGAGGCAGCAGUAGGGAAUCUUCCACAAUGGGCGAAAGCCUGAUGGAGCAACGCCGCGUGGGUGAAGAAGGUCUUCGGAUCUUAAAACCCUUUUGUUAGAGAAGAAAGUUCGUGAGAGUAACUGUUCACGUUUCGACGGUAUCUAACCAGAAAGCCACGGCUAACUCCGUUCCAGCAGCCGCUGUAAUACGUAGGUGGCAAGCGUUAUCCGGAUUUAUUUGUCGUAAAGGGAACGCAGGCGGUCUUUUAAGUCUGAUGUGAAAUCCUUCGGCUUAACCGGAGUAGUGCAUUGGAAACUGGGAGACUUGAGUGCAGAAGAGGAGAGUGGAACUCGAGGUGUAGCGGUGAAAUGCGUAGAUAUAUGGAAGAACACCAGUGGCGAAGGCGGCUCUCUGGUCUGUAACUGACGCUGAGGUUCGAAAGCGUGGGUAGCAAACAGGAUUAGAUACCCCUGUAGUC